rnacentral:rRNA from 1 species
ACGAAGCUGGAUUCGCUAGUAAUCGCGCAUCAGCCACGGCGCGGUGAAUACGUUCCCGGGCCUUGUGCACACCGCCCGUCAAGCCAUGGGAGCCGGGGGUACCUGAAGUGCGUAACCGCGAGGAGCGCCCUAGGGUAAAACUGGUGACUGGGGCUAAGUCGUAACAAGGUAGC